rnacentral:rRNA from 1 species
GACGAACCGUGCGAACGUUGUUCGGAUUCACUGGGCUUAAAGGGCGCGUAGGCGGGUGGCCAGGUCGGGGGUGAAACCUUUCGGCUCAACCGGAAGCCUGCCCCCGAUACCGGCCGCCUGGAGGGGGGUAGGGGCACGCGGAACUUCCGGUGGAGCGGUGAAAUGCGUAGAUAUCGGAAGGAACGCCGGCGGCGAAAGCGGCGUGCUGGACCCUCCCUGACGCUGAGGCGCGAAAGCCAGGGGAGCGAACGGG